CAACAAAUCCUCACCUGGAAUAAAUUAUAUUAACUUCACCAAUGCAUUUAAAUGAGCCUAGGAUCUGGCCUGCAAUGUUGAUUUGGUUUUGACUGACAGUAGAUUUCAGAAAAGCCUUCCCUCUUCUCAGUAUUUUUGGCCCCCCCACACUGUCUACGCUGUCCUGCCCUAAAGAAAGCUUAUUUAAAAGCUAGUUUCAGAGCAGCGUGUGCAUGCACUGAUCAAUGAUGAGUCACGUUCAGCUUGAUAAGGAAAAGAAUGGAAAUCCCAACAAUUUAAAGAGACUCCAUGUUCCUGUGUCUAGACUACGCAUGCUGCAUUGGGAAGCUCUCAUUUCCAAGUCCCAAAAUUUGUUUGUCAGGUGGACCUGUUUUCCUUGCAAUCUUGAAUAACUUCCCUAUGUUUCAGGAAGAUGCUCUGCAGAUAUGGGAGUUUCUUAGUUCCCUAGUCAGAUCAAAGGGAUUUCAUAUGGUAUGUAGCUAGUGUAUUUAAGUCUGAAAAGGAAUAAUCAGUUAUCCCAGCAUCGCAGAGUGGGCAAGAAUCUGGCAAGACUUUUACACUGUGAUAUACGAAUUAGCCAUUUGCUCUGUAAGGUCUUGCACCAUAGUGGUCUGUAACUUGCAAGAAGAGCUUAAACUGGAAAAUACAAUGUUAUCCCACUUCUAGUGCUGAAAAAGAUGCUUUCAAAUUCCAAGCUGAAGAUGGCAAUGUUUGGUGUGAAACUGGUGACAGCAAGUACUAGCUGACUUCUAAAUUGGAAAGAAGAGUUGGCAAAGGCAAAAACACAAACAAGGGAGCUGCCAAGUGCAAGGGGAGAAGGAAGUGACAAUGCAAGCAGACAUGAUUACUUCCUGUUGCUGUUUUGAAGGGAUAAAGCAAAUCCAAUGCGCAUCGCAUGAAAGUUUCUAAAGCAGGCGCUGGUAUCACAUGGGUUCAAUCCUCUUCUGAGUUACGCAGAUCAAAAUCCCCAGGACUCAUUUGACCUAGGGACUUGGCAGUUGCACAUGUGCCAGCUUCGUUACACAAAUGUUGCCCCAGUGUUGUGGUUUGGGACAGAUUUGGCCAGAGAUGCACUAAGUGAAUGGCAUUUCUUUGAAUUCAGGAUGACUUACCUGAUAUUGGAGCAAGUUGGCCAUGUGUCAUCUUUGGCUCCCCCAAAAACCUCCCCAAAGCAGAGUAAAAUUUGUAAAAAAUUAAUGAUUCUUACAUAAAAGACAGGAUGUAAAAAAAAUCUGGUUUCUGUAUCCUAACAUUGGAACAAUACAUUCAUUAAGAAUUUCUGAGACUAGUUUUCACCCGGAGGAGAAACUUCAGCUGGACACUGUAGUUGGACAAGUUUUAGGCAGAUAAAACCAGAGUCUAACAACAGCAAGUGUCAGGGCCAGUAACCUUUGCCUGCAAGAGCCAAAACAUAGACUCGGGCAGUAAAUGCCGUGGCUCUUCCAAAGUAAGAUGCUCUGAAGUUUUUUCCAGAAGUAUGAACAAGAUAUGGUGACCCUUGGAGACUUUCACUGACCCGGGCCAAGAAUGAGCUUAGUGGGAGCAAAGUGGAAAUGUCAGCAUGUGGAGGCAAUAUGACACUAUCAUAAAUUUAGCUUUUUUUCCUUAUGGCCAAUCCAUCCAAUUAUUAUAUGUAGAAACUCAGGCUGGAUAUACAAAAUUUUAGGCGCAUUUGUCCAAGAGACCAGAUAGCCAAUCUAUUCUAAAAAUAAUAAUAAAAAAAAUUUACAUUUCUUGUCAGCCAGCGUCAAAAUGGUUUUUAAAGUGAUGGACCAUGGCUCUUGAGAUGAUAAUAUGACAGCUUGCCUAUAUAUUACCAUUAUAAAAGUGCUCUGCAACUGAAUUUCAAGUGGAAGACUGAGGUUGCUUGAGGUUAUCUGCAUUUGCUCUAGCAGUAUAGUACUGUUUUAAAAGGUGCCUGCAUUAAUAUGAAGGCUGCAUUUAUGGAGGAGAAUUUUGUCACCAUACUGUUAAAGGUUCAUGGUGUCCUCAUUCCUUAUUCAAGGCAACGCAAAAAGCUAUUUUCAAUUUUAGUAGCAAACACGUAUGAAAACUGACAUUAAUGCUUUUAAAGUGGUACUCAAAACCCAUAGAAAUUGGAAUCUAGGAAAGCAAACAACGAAUAAUAUGGUUUAGCAAGGUACCAGUGACCUAUGUCACAGCACUGCAGGACCAUAGCAGCAGGCAACUGUAAAUAUCUCAGUCGGGGUAUGAACACCCCAGCCCAGUUAGCCCGGGGCAGGAUCGAUAUUCCCAAUAAAAUGCUGAGCAAGAGAGAGAAGUGAUUAUUUUAGUAGUAAAACUGUAACACCUAGGUGACCAUUUGUGUAAGGAUUCUCCUGGACUAUGUUUAAAACCGUAAGUCUCCAGCUCUUUCAGUGCUGUCACCAUAGUCACAAUGUCAUUUAUACGGAGUGUUUUAAAUAGAGAAAUACAGAAGCGCGGUCUCGCAGUUUUAUAAGGCUGGAAGCUAGAAUUAUUGUCAUCUGCUUAGGCAGACAUUAACAUCACUAGACUUCCCUUAGUUAAUUUCUUUAGGAAACAUCCACUCCUGAUGAAAAGAUUGCUAGGGGUUGCAAAUUCACAGCCACGUUUAGCAAAUCCUCACUUCAUGGGCCCCAUCGCCGAGGACACAUGUGCAGACUUGCUAACAUCCCUCCAUGUGAGCUCAGCUUGGGCCAUGCUAUGAUGUAGUUUGUUAGACCAAUGAGCCAAAUAAAUGUUUUGUCCCUGACCUUAGGUUUUUAUAACCAUCCAUGAAGUAAUCCCCUUACUCUUCCCUCCAGCAAAUCUAUGAGAUCUUUUUUUUUUUCUGGUAUUCCUGCUGCACUGCCCCGAGUCCUUUCCAAACCGGCUGUCUGCCUCUCACAUUGACACCAGCAUUAGGCACGAUACUUUGGAAGCUGGCAAACUUGUGCCAGUUACAGAAAUAGGAUUUUCUGUCCUUCUGUCAUUCCUUCCAGCCAUAGGCAGUGUUGAUCUUUUGGGCCGAACGCAGUGCUGGGAACACAAGGUCAGGCGUUUCUUGUUUGGAUGCUCCACCUGCCUCCAGCCACGGCUUCCUGAAGUCCCCAUCCUGCGAUGCUCUUCUGUCACAGAGCUGACACUCCACAUUUUGCUGGUUUAAAAUGUGUGUUGUUAGCCUACAUCCAACUUACUUAACAAAUGAACUGGAUUUCUCUGCACCUCUUACACGUUUUCUUCUAUCUUUGUACCAUUAGCAAACUUAACCAUGAUGAUUUUGUAUUUCGUCAUCAGCAAAAAUAUUAAAUGGUUCUGAGCCUGGCGUGACAGGAAUGCACUGGCAAUAGUGAUGUGACACCGAUGAUCCCCCAGUUGCGGUUGCGUUUUGAGGGCUGUCCGUCUGCCAGUCGCUAAUCCACGUUAAUCCUCCUGAAAGGAGGAUUGCGAUUCAGGAGUAGUGCUCGCUCUGAGAGGGGUCACAUGGGAAUUCAGCGUGCUUUCACUUCUGCCCCCUGACUUCAUGCCUUUAAUGGGUUUGUCUUUGGUUUUGAGUGUCCCUACAGAAGUGGACUCCUCUGUGAAAUAUCCUCUUUCUGGGGUGGCUGGGAUAGACUGAG